rnacentral:tRNA from 1 species
GCUAUUAUAGUUUUAAUAAUAUUGAAUUGCAAAUUCAAAGAUAGGUGUGCCUUAAUAGUU